rnacentral:rRNA from 1 species
GGAUCAGGUAGGAAUACCCGCUGAACUUAAGCAUAUCAAUAAGCGGGAGGA